UAGGCUGCAACUCGCCUACACGAAGCUGGAAUCGCUAGUAAUCGCGGAUCAGCACGCCGCGGUGAAUACGUUCCCGGGCCUUGUACACACCGCCCGUCACACCAUGAGAGUCUGUAACACCCAAAGUCGGUGGGAUAACCUUUAUAGGAGUCAGCCGUCUAAGGUAGGACAGAUGAUUAGGGUGAAGUCGUAACAAGGUAAC
rnacentral:rRNA from 1 species